GCUUCACCCAGGCUCGCGCCCAAGGCUGCGUCGCGAGCCCCGCGCCCCCCUACUCGCCGGCGCCUCGCGCUCGCGCCGGCGGCCGCGCAUCGGUGGUCCGCUUGAGCGCCAUCCAUUUUCAGGGCUAGUACCUUCGGCAGGUGAGUUGUUACACACUCCUUAGCGGGUUCCGACUUCCAUGGCCACCGUCCUGCUGUCUAGAGGUACCAACGCCUUUUGUGGUCUCUGAUGAGCGGACACUUGGGUACCUUAGCGCGGCGUUCGGUUCAUCCCGCAUCGCCAGUUCUGCUUACCAAAAAUGGCCCACUUUGAACGCGCCGUUCGCCGCGCGGGAUCACUCAAGCAUCCCGCGCCUCUUGCCCAUUUAAAGUUUGAGAAUAGGUUAAGGCUGUUUCAGCCCCAAGGCCUCUAAUCAUUCGCUUUACCUGACAAAACCGUCGGCGUUCAAGCUAUCCUGUGGGAAACUUCGGAGGGAACCAGCUACUAGAUGGUUCGAUUAGUCUUUCGCCCCUAUACCCAAGUUCGACGAACGAUUUGCACGUCAGUAUCGCUACGAGCCUCCACCAGAGUUUCCUCUGGCUUCACCCUCCUCAGGCAUAGUUCACCAUCUUUCGGGUCCCGACAGAUGUGCUCCACUCAAACCCUUCACAGAAGAUCAAGGUCGGUUGGCGCCGAACGCCCUUCACUUUCAUUCCGCACGCGGGCUUGCCACCCGGGUACUCGCACACGUGUCAGACUCCUUGGUCCGUGUUACUAGACGGGUCGGUUGCGCCCGUUCCGUCAGCCGACGCCAGGCGCGCGCCCCCCAGCCGAGCUCGCCGGAGCCCCACUCGGCCGUCUGUGGCGCCCGCCCAGCGCGAGCUGACCCGCGCCGACAAAGUGCACCGCCCAAGAGGGCGGCUGAGUCGACGGCGCGACACCGGGCGCAAACGGGUUUCCUCUUGCCGAUUUCAAGCACUCUUUAACUCUCUUUUCAAAGUUCUUUGCAUCUUUCCCUCACGGUACUUGUUCGCUAUCGGUCUCUCGCCAGUAUUUAGCUUUAGAUGGAAUUUACCACCCAAUUCAAGCUGCAAUCCCAAGCAACCCGACUCUGCAAGGGCGCAUCGUGCGACCGCGAACCGCCACGGCACAGGAUUCUCACCUUCUCCGAUACCCCGUUCCAGGGGAUUUGAGCGGCGGACGCGGCCGAUGGCGCCUUUCUAGACUACAAUUCGGGGGGUCGUCGUGAAAGAGACCUCCAGAUUGGCGGCGUGAGCUCUGCCCGCUUCAUUCGCCAUUACUAGGGGCAUCCUGGUUAGUUUCUUCUCCUCCGCUUAGUGAUAUGCUUAAGUUCAGCGGGUAGCCUUGCUUCAUUCGAUGGCGGAUGUGUGGGGGUUGAGCGCCUUCCCAAAGGACGACACUCAAUGGGUGGUCGAGCCGGCGAGCAAAAGAGCCCACCGACCCGACCGCGUCUUUGAGAGAUAAAAGCAGCGUUCGAGCCACAACGAUCAAGAGCUGCGAGAGCCUAACACGUCGGGGAACGCCGAUCGCAAGACCAGAAGGCCCGCGACCGACGCAACGCUGCCUCUCGGCGACGCUCGCUCCUUGAGCCGGCGCGAGAGACGUCCGGAGACGACCCGCGGCGGCCACGAUCGGACGCGUGCGCGAGGCGCGCGCCCAGGCGGGUGGAGGCGCCACUCGAAGAAACAUGCUCCCAGGCGGAACCUGGAAGCGCCAGUUGCGUUCAAAAGUUCGAUGAUUCACUGAAUUCUGCAAUUCGCAUUACGUAUCGCAUUUCGCUGCGUUCUUCAUCGUUGCGA
rnacentral:rRNA from 1 species